UGGGGAAUUUUGGACAAUGGGCGAAAGCCUGAUCCAGCAAUGCCGCGUGUGUGAAGAAGGCCUUCGGGUUGUAAAGCACUUUUGUCCGGAAAGAAAUCCUUGGCUCUAAUACAGUCGGGGGGAUGACGGUACCGGAAGAAUAAGCACCGGCUAACUACGUGCCAGCAGCCGCGGUAAUACGUAGGGUGCAAGCGUUAAUCGGAAUUACUGGGCGUAAGCGUGCGCAGGCGGUUUGCUAAGACCGAUGUGAAAUCCCCGGGCUCAACCUGGGAACUGCAUUGGUGACUGGCAGGCUAGAGUAUGGCAGAGGGGGGUAGAAUUCCACGUGUGAGCAGUGAAAUGCGUAGAGAUGUGGAGGAAUACCGAUGGCGAAGGCAGCCCCCUGGGCCAAUACUGACGCUCAUGCACGAAAGCGUGGGGAGCAAACAGGAUUAGAUACCCUGGUAGUCCACGCCCUAAACGAUGUC
rnacentral:rRNA from 1 species